UACGGGGGGGGCAAGCGUUGUUCGGAAUUACUGGGCGUAAAGGGCGCGUAGGCGGCCAACUCAGUCGGACGUGAAAUCCCCUGGCUCAACCAGGGAACUGCGUCCGAUACUGGCUGGCUUGAAUCCGGGAGAGGGAUGUGGAAUUCCAGGUGUAGCGGUGAAAUGCGUAGAUAUCUGGAGGAACACCGGUGGCGAAGGCGGCAUCCUGGACCGGUAUUGACGCUGAGGCGCGAAAGCCAGGGGAGCAAACGGG
rnacentral:rRNA from 1 species